UACAGAGGUCUCAAGCGUUGUUCGGAUUCAUUGGGCGUAAAGGGUGCGUAGGCGGCGCGGUAAGUCGGGUGUGAAAAUCUCGGAGCUUAACUCCGAAACUGCAUUCGAUACUGUGGUGCUUGAGGACUGGAGAGGAGACUGGAAUUCAUGGUGUAGCAGUGAAAUGCGUAGAGAUCACGAGGAAGACCAGUGGCGAAGGCGGGUCUCUGGACAGUUCCUGACACUGGAGGCACGGAAGGCCAGGGGAGCAAAACGGG
rnacentral:rRNA from 1 species